CAUCCAUGCCCACCAAGGAAUAAUUGAGGUGUCGAAAAGCACAGGAUCUUCAUUACUUGAUGACUCGGGGUUAUCUUCUAACCACUUCCUUCUCCUAACCUCUGCAUCAAUUACAGAAUCCCAAUGAACCUUCCCAUCUUUCUCAAAUUUCUUCAAAUCCCAAGUUCCUCCAACCCAUCUAGCAUCCUGAAACUUCCUCACCUCCUCAGUCUCCGUCACCGGAGCUCCGGCGACCACCGCUGG
rnacentral:misc_RNA from 1 species